rnacentral:rRNA from 1 species
GAGUUUGAUCCUGGCUCAGGAUGAACGCUGGCGGCAUGCCUAAUACAUGCAAGUCGAACGAGAGGAAGGAAAGCUUGCUUUUCUGAAUCUAGUGGCGAACGGGUGAGUAACACGUAGGUAACCUGCCCAUGUGCCCGGGAUAACUUCUGGAAACGGAUGCUAAAACCGGAUAGGUAGCAGACAAGCAUUUGACUGCUAUUAAAGUGGCUAAGGCCAUGAACAUGGAUGGACCUGCGGUGCAUUAGCUAGUUGGUGAGGUAACGGCCCACCAAGGCGACGAUGCAUAGCCGGCCUGAGAGGGCGGACGGCCACAUUGGGACUGAGACACGGCCCAAACUCCUACGGGAGGCAGCAGUAGGGAAUUUUCGUCAAUGGGGGGAACCCUGAACGAGCAAUGCCGCGUGAGUGAAGAAGGUCUUCGGAUCGUAAAGCUCUGUUGUAAGAGAAAAACGACAUUCAUAGGGAAUGAUGAGUGAGUGAUGGUAUCUUACCAGAAAGUCACGGCUAACUACGUGCCAGCAGCCGCGGUAAUACGUAGGGGGCGAGCGUUAUCCGGAAUGAUUGGGCGUAAAGGGUGCGUAGGUGGCAGAACAAGUCUGGAGUAAAAGGUAUGGGCUCAACCCGUACUGGCUCUGGAAACUGUUCAGCUAGAGAACAGAAGAGGACGGCGGAACUCCAUGUGUAGCGGUAAAAUGCGUAGAUAUAUGGAAGAACACCGGUGGCGAAGGCGGCCGUCUGGUCUGUUGCUGACACUGAAGCACGAAAGCGUGGGGAGCAAAUAGGAUUAGAUACCCUAGUAGUCCACGCCGUAAACGAUGAGAACUAGGUGUUGGGGGAAUAACUCAGUGCCGCAGUUAACGCAAUAAGUUCUCCGCCUGGGGAGUAUGCACGCAAGUGUGAAACUCAAAGGAAUUGACGGGGGCCCGCACAAGCGGUGGAG